rnacentral:rRNA from 1 species
AUUGAACGCUGGCGGCGUGCUUAACACAUGCAAGUCGAUCGGUAACAGGUGUAGCAAUACAUGCUGACGAGAGGCGGACGGGUGAGUAAUGCUUGGGAAUCUGCCUAUUAGUGGGGGACAACCCGGGGAAACUCGGGCUAAUACCGCAUACGCUCUACGGAGGAAAGCCGGGGACCGCAAGGCCUGGCGCUAAUAGAUGAGCCCAAGUCGGAUUAGCUAGUUGGUAGGGAACGGCCUACCAAGGCGACAAUCCGUAGCUGGUCUGAGAGGACGACCAGCCACACCGGAACUGAGACACGGUCCGGACUCCUACGGGAGGCAGCAGUGGGGAAUAUUGGACAAUGGGGGCAACCCUGAUCCAGCGACGCCGCGUGGGUGAAGGAGGCCUGCGGGUUGUAAAGCCCUUUCGGUGGGGAAGAAAAGUCUCGACCUAAUACGUCGGGACCUUGACGUACCCACUAAAGAAGCACCGGCUAACUCUGUG